rnacentral:rRNA from 1 species
UACGAAGGGGGCUAGCGUUGCUCGGAUUCAUUGGGCGUAAAGGGUGCGUAGGCGGCGCGGUAAGUCGGGUGUGAAAUCUUGGAGCUUAACUCCGAAACUGCAUUCGAUACUGCCGUGCUUGAGGACUGGAGAGGAGACUGGAAUUUACGGUGUAGCGGUGAAAUGCGUAGAUAUCGUAAGGAAGACCAGUGGCGAAGGCGGGUCUCUGGACAGUUCCUGACGCUGAGGCACGAAGGUCAGGGGAGCAAACGGG